CUAUGACAUUUUGUCAUGGCGGAAGGAG
rnacentral:ncRNA from 1 species